CGUACACUCCUACGGGAGGCAGCAGUGAGGAAUAUUGGACAAUGGGUGGAAGCCUGAUCCAGCCAUCCCGCGUGCAGGAAGACGGCCCUAUGGGUUGUAAACUGCUUUUAUCUGGGGAUAAACCUACUUACGUGUAAGUAGCUGAAGGUACCAGAAGAAUAAGCACCGGCUAACUCCGUGCCAGCAGCCGCGGUAAUACGGAGGGUGCAAGCGUUAUCCGGAUUUAUUGGGUUUAAAGGGUCCGUAGGCGGACUGAUAAGUCAGUGGUGAAAUCCGACAGCUUAACUGUCGAACUGCCAUUGAUACUGUUAGUCUUGAGUAAGGUUGAAGUGGCUGGAAUAAGUAGUGUAGCGGUGAAAUGCAUAGAUAUUACUUAGAACACCAAUUGCGAAGGCAGGUCACUAAGUCUUAACUGACGCUGAUGGACGAAAGCGUGGGGAGCGAACAGGAUUAGAAACCCGAGUAGUCCCAUGA
rnacentral:rRNA from 1 species